rnacentral:rRNA from 1 species
GACGAACGCUGGCGGCGUGCUUAACACAUGCAAGUCGAACGGUGAUGCUCCAGCUUGCUGGAGUGGAUCAGUGGCGAACGGGUGAGUAACACGUGAGCAACCUGCCCCAGACUCUGGAAUAAGCGCUGGAAACGGCGUCUAAUACUGGAUACGAAACUGGCCCGCAUGGGCAUGGUUUGGAAAGUUUUUCGGUUUGGGAUGGGCUCGCGGCCUAUCAGCUUGUUGGUGAGGUAAUGGCUCACCAAGGCGACGACGGGUAGCCGGCCUGAGAGGGCUACCGGCCACACUGGGACUGAGACACGGCCCAGACUCCUACGGGAGGCAGCAGUGGGGAAUAUUGCACAAUGGGCGAAAGCCUGAUGCAGCGACGCCGCGUGAGGGAUGACGGCCUUCGGGUUGUAAACCUCUUUCAGCAGGGAAGAAGCGAAAGUGACGGUACCUGCAGAAGAAGCACCGGCUAACUACGUG